rnacentral:rRNA from 1 species
GUGAGGAAUUUUCCGCAAUGGGCGAAAGCCUGACGGAGCAAUGCCGCGUGAAGGAUGAAGGCCUAUGGGUUGUAAACUUCUUUUCUCAGAAAAGAAUUAUGACGGUAUCUGAGGAAUAAGCAUCGGCUAACUCUGUGCCAGCAGCCGCGGUAAGACAGAGGAUGCAAGCGUUAUCAGGAAUGAUUGGGCGUAAAGCGUCUGUAGGUUGUUUAAAAAGUAUUCUGUCAAAGAUUAGGGCUUAACCCUAGAUAGGCAGAAUAAACUUUUAAGCUAGAGUUUGGUAGAGGCAGAGGGAAUUCCCGGUGGAGCGGUGAAAUGCGUAGAUAUCGGGAGGAACACCAAAGGCGAAGGCACUCUGCUGGGCCAAUACUAACACUGAGAGACGAAAGCGAGGGGAGCAAAUGGGAUUAGAUACCCUAGUAGUCC